CCUACGGGUGGCAGCAGUGAGGAAUAUUGGUCAAUGGGCGUAAGCCUGAACCAGCCAAGUCGCGUGAGGGAUGAAGGUUCUAUGGAUCGUAAACCUCUUUUAUAAGGGAAUAAAGUGUGGGACGUGUCCUAUUUUGUAUGUACCUUAUGAAUAAGGAUUGGCUAACUCCGUGCCAGCAGCCGCGGUAAUACGGAGGAUCCGAGCGUUAUCCGGAUUUAUUGGGGUUAAAGGGUGCGUAGGCGGCCUUUUAAGUCAGCGGUGAAAGUUUGUGGCGCAACCAUAGAAUUGCCGUUGAAACUGGGGAGCUUGAGUAUGUUUGAGGGAGGCGGAAUGCGUGGUGUAGCGGUGAAAUGCUUAGAUAUCACGCAGAACCCCGAUUGCGAAGGCAGCCUGCCAGGGCAUGACUGACGCUGAUGCACGAAAGCGUGGGGAUCAAACAGGAUUAGAUACCCUUGUAGUC
rnacentral:rRNA from 1 species